GUGUGUGUGUGUGUGUGUGUGUGUGUGUGUGUGUGUGUGUGUGUUCGGCGGCGGUGUGUUUCGGUCAGUGAGCUCUCUCUAUGAUCUACUUGCUUCCUGCUUCAGUCUUUAAUGUUUCUGAUCAACAAACUGUCAGAUUUUAAUAUUCAGACUUUUUCAGCAAUUUGUGACUGAAAUUUGAUUUUCAGACUGAAAUAAUGUUUUUGUCUCCUGAAGUCAAACAGAAAAGUUUUUUACCGAAUCAAACGGAUCUGUGUGAUUUUUCUUGUUUUGAGACAAAGAGUGUUUAUGCAGACAGAUGCUCCACUCGUCAGUCCAGAUGACGACGUCCUGGUGAACUUUUCCUGCAGCAGAUGGUCGUCUGGUUCUGGUCACACCUUCAUGUUUACCAGAACCAUCUGACGGGUCGGUACCGCUGCCAGGAUACCUGCUGGAGUCGCUCUGAUCCCCGAGGUGGAGCAGAAAUAAAUCCUCAGUCUCUCCGUCUGUCUCAGACAUGAUGGCUUCAUGUUCCUCUGAUGGAAAACAUUUAAUGAGAGAAAUAAUGUCACAUUUAAACAAGUUCUCAGGUUUAGUUUAACUUAGAUUUUCUUCAUUCUAACUUCAGGCGAACAAAAUCAAACAUUAACAGUUUUAUUAUUUACUAAACUAAACUAGUUUUAUUCAGUUAUCAGGUCAAAUCUCACUGCAGGGACAGUUUGUUACAUUCCUCCCACCGUAUGAGCUCAACCUUCAGCACUUCAUACCACACACACACACCCCUACACACACACACACCCCUACACACACACACACCCCUACACACACACACACCCUACACACACACACACCCCUACACACACACACACCCUACACACACACACACACACACUGUGAGUGUUUGAGAUGAAGGUCUGGUCCAGAUAAGCUCUGAAGUGUUGGGCUAAAUGUGGAAUCCAGCGGUGAUAAGACAAACCGGCGUUGAACCAUCAGGCGGUUCGUAACGAGGCGUUCAGGCUCAGUCAGGAGAAGUUAGAGGUGAAUCAACAUCCUGGAAGGUUUUUAAAUAUCAAAACCAAGAAUCCAUUUCUUCAAGGUGAGACGUGACGAAUCUGCAGAGGUUUGAAUCCAGAAAAACUCAGAGGAAACGUCGGGACUUUAAAUCGUUUCCUGAAGAAAAGAGGAAGGCUGGAGGUGAGGAAGACUCUGCUGGACAUGGAGGGACAGCCAGAGGUCAAAGAAACCAGAAUGGAGGCAGAAAACGACUCGACUGCUUCAGCUUCAGGCGGAGGGAAGGAAAAACUGCAAACAGUGGAGGGAGAGAAAGAAGAGUUUCAUCAGGAGACGAAGGAGAAGAUGGAGGAUGA